UCUCUCUCCGCCGACUUGUCCACCACCGCCGAGCGCAAAUAAUCCCACUGCUCAAGCCGCACACUUUUAAAGGGCCAGAAAGCCGAAGGUGCCGUCGAUCCCGCACCACCGCUGCAGCGUUGGAGCUUCUUUUCCUGUCUACGAUGGAUGAAGGCUCACGGAAGACCGCACGUACAACUAAAUGUGGACGAUAUCAACAAAGGCCAGACUGGAUGUUCGAAGAUUCCUCAAGUCAGGAACAAAUCAUCCAUCCGUCCAUCGUCCUCCGCUUCUCCAGAGUCGAGUCGCAGGGGCAGCAACCUGAGCAGAAAAGCCCAAACGGCCAUCUUUUCAGUCACUUUGUCCAGCUUUUCCGG